rnacentral:rRNA from 1 species
CCAGCACCCGCGGUAAUUCCAGCUCCAAUAGCGUAUAUUAAAGUUGUUGCAGUUAAAAAGCUCGUAGUUGGACUUUAGGCAAGACGGCCUGGUCGCCCACUGGGUGUACUGGGAUCGUUGCGCCUCACCUUCGGGGAGCCAGUCGUGCUUCGGUGCGCUGGGGAACCGAGCCUUACCUUGAGGAAAUUAGAGUGUUUAAAGCAGGCUUAUGCUUGAAUACGUUAGCAUGGAAUAACAUGAUAGGACUUUGGUUCUAUUUUGUUGGUUUGAGGACCAAAGUAAUGAUUAAUAGGGACAGUUGGGGGCAUUAUUAUUCAAUAGUCAGAGGUGAAAUUCUUGGAUUUAUUGAA